ACUCCUACGGGAGGCAGCAGUGGGGAAUAUUGCACAAUGGGCGCAAGCCUGAUGCAGCCAUGCCGCGUGUAUGAAGAAGGCCUUCGGGUUGUAAAGUACUUUCAGCGGGGAGGAAGGCGAUAAGGUUAAUAACCUUGUCGAUUGACGUUACCCGCAGAAGAAGCACCGGCUAACUCCGUGCCAGCAGCCGCGGUAAUACGGAGGGUGCAAGCGUUAAUCGGAAUUACUGGGCGUAAAGCGCACGCAGGCGGUCUGUCAAGUCGGAUGUGAAAUCCCCGGGCUCAACCUGGGAACUGCAUUCGAAACUGGCAGGCUAGAGUCUUGUAGAGGGGGGUAGAAUUCCAGGUGUAGCGGUGAAAUGCGUAGAGAUCUGGAGGAAUACCGGUGGCGAAGGCGGCCCCCUGGACAAAGACUGACGCUCAGGUGCGAAAGCGUGGGGAGCAAACAGGAUUAGAAACCCCUGUAGUCCC
rnacentral:rRNA from 1 species